GUCAGUCCCAGCCAGGACACAGCAUGGAAAUGAGGGUCCCCGCUCAGCUCCUGGGGCUCCUGCUGCUCUGGCUCCGAGGUGCCAGAUGUGACAUCCAGGUGACCCAGUCUCCAUCUUCCCUGUCUGCGUCUGUAGGAGACAGAGUCACCAUCACCUGCCGGGCAAGUCAGGGCAUUAGCAAUGGGUUAUCCUGGUAUCAGCAGAAACCAGGGCAAGCCCCUACGCUCCUGAUCUAUGCUGCAUCCAGUUUGCAGUCGGGGGUCCCAUCUCGGUUCAGUGGCAGUGGAUCUGGGACAGAUUUCACUCUCACCAUCAGCAGCCUGCAGCCUGAAGAUGUUGCAACUUAUUACUGUCUACAGGAUUAUACUACCCCAUUCACAGUGUUACAAGCCAUAACAAAAACCCCCCAGAGAAGCAGAUGUGUGAGUCUGCACUGUCCUAGCUACUCCUCCUGGUGCCUCCAUCUGCUGAGAACAUUUCCCAAAUUGCAUCCACACUUUGAAGUUUCUGUAGAAAGUGACAUGAAGCCUCCUCUAUACCUUAACUAUCUUUCCUUCACGGCAUCCCCAGCGGCACAGACAGGGCAAACCCUCUCCUGAUUGCAUUAAGAACAGAGAUGAUUACACCUACGAAGUCUGAGUUAUGGUGUGAGUUGGAAUUAAUAUCAUAAAGGAGACACCACUCUUGGAAUUCCAAGUAGAAUUUUUCUUCUAAAAACAGGAAUGAGAGUCUAAACUACAGUCUUUAAAAGUCUUGAUGGCAUGAGAAUGAAGAUGCAAAUGCAAAAAAGAGGGAUUCUCUGGAUCUCGCCAUGAAUCCAGAAUGUAUCUGCCACUUCAGAAGGUAUAAUUGCCAAUCAUGUGGUCCUCAGACAUGUCUGGGAAGCCCAGGUUUGGGGCUGCUGAUGCUCUCUGCCUGGAGAACCUGCCUGAUUUUCUAAGGCACCUGCUUAACUGUUGACCAGCAAGGGUCCUGUUCCAAAGAGACCUAGCCAAAGAGAAUGAUCAGAGUAAAAGGCCAAUUCCUUCCAAUGCCUUCCUGGCCCCAUUUUCCCUGAAUCCUCCCUGUUAAUUAUAAAAACUCUUUCAUGGCUCUUACCUCAGACUCACCGGGCUCCCAACUCUCGGGUUUCCUAGUUCUGCCCUAAACAAGCCUCACACUGUCCUGCCCUUGGAGCUUUACUCUCACUGCUCCCUCAGGGGUGAGGCUUUUCCCCAGACCCUUGGGUUCCUUCCCUCACUCCCAAAGCCAACCCUGUGCUUCCCAUCUUAAUGAUCCCUCUGUAUGUGUUCAUAGGACACCCUACUCCAUGCUUUUGUCAGAAGCACUUUUCGCCUUCUGACUUAUGAUAUAAUUUAUUUACUUAUGAUUUUACACUUGAUAGGCUGACUCCCUCUAGUGGAAUUUGAGCUUCAUGGGAUCAGGGGCCAUUGUCUAUUAUUUGCAUUGCUGCAUCCCAGUGUAAUGGGAGUACCUGGCAAGCAGUAGGUGCUCAGAGUGGGGCACUCUUCCCAGGAGUCUGCAUGUCUAGAAGUCUGGGAGGAUUGUAAAGAGUGGAUUAAACUGCUUGUUAUAUGGACAA